rnacentral:tRNA from 1 species
GCCGAGAUGGCGGAACUGGUAGACGCACCAGACUCAAAAUCUGGCGGGGGUAACCCCGUGUGGGUUCGAUUCCCUCUCCCGGCACCA